CUGAUGACGAGCGGCGAACGGCUGAGUAACACGUGGGAACAUGCCCCAAAGUGAGGGAUAAGCACCAGAAAUGGUGUCUAAUACCGCAUAUGAUCUUCGGAUUAAAGGAUUUAUCCGCUUUGGGAGUGGCCUGCGUACGAUUAGAUAGUUGGUGAGGUAAUGGCUCACCAAGUCUACGAUCGUUGGCUGGUCUGAGAGGAUGACCAGCCAGACUGGAACUGAGACACGGUCCAGACUCCUACGGGAGGCAGCAGUGAGGAAUCUUCCACAAUGGGCGAAAGCCUGAUGGAGCAACGCCGCGUGCAGGAUGAAGGCCCUCGGGUCGUAAACUGCUUUUAUAAGCGAAGAAUAUGACGGUAACUUAUGAAUAAGCACCGGCUAACUACGUGCCAGCAGCCGCGGUCAUACGUAGGGUGCAAGCAUUAUCCGGAGUGACUGGGCGUAAAGAGUUGCGUAGGUGGUCAGUAAAGUGAAUAGUGAAAUCUGGUGGCUCAACCAUUCAGGCUAUUAUUCAAACUCACUGACUCGAGAGUAGCAGAGGUAACUGGAAUUUCUUGUGUAGGAGUGAAAUCCGUAGAUAUAAGAAGGAACACCAAUGGCGUAGGCAGGUUACUGGGCUAUUUCUGACACUGAGGCACGAAAGCGUGGGGAGCGAACGGGAUUAGAUACCCCGGUAGUCCACGCCGUAAACUAUGGAUACUAGCUGUUGGAGGUAUCGACCCCUUCAGUAGCGAAGCUAACGCGUUAAGUAUCCCGCCUGUGGAGUACGGUCGCAAGACUAAAACAUAAAGGAAUUGACGGGGACCCGCACAAGCGGUGGAUUGUGUUCUUUGAUUCGAUGAUAAACGAAGAACCUUACCAGGGUUUGACAUCCUUGGAAUUAAUCCGAAAGGAUUGAGUGCUUUAUUGAGCCAAGUGACAGGUGUUGCAUGGGCCGUCGUCAGCUCGUGUCGUGAGAUGUUUGGUUAAGUCCAUCAACGAGCGCAACCCUUGUGAAUAGUUGGAUUUUUCUAUUCAGACUGCCCCGGUAACGGGGAGGAAGGAGGGGAUGACGUCAGGUCAGUAUUGCCCUUACACCCUGGGCUAGAAACGCAAUACAAUGGCCAGUACAAUGCGCAGCGAAGCCGCGAGGUGAAGCAAAUCGCAUCAAAGCUGGUCCCAGUUCGGAUAGGAGGCUGAAACUCGCCUCCUUGAAGUCGGAAUCGCUAGUAA
rnacentral:rRNA from 1 species